GAUGAACGCUGGCGGCGUGCCUAAUACAUGCAAGUCGAGCGAACGGACGAGAAGCUUGCUUCUCUGAUGUUAGCGGCGGACGGGUGAGUAACACGUGGACAACCUACCUAUAAGACUGGGAUAACUUCGGGAAACCGGAGCUAAUACCGGAUAAUAUUUUGAACCGCAUGGUUCAAAAGUGAAAGACGGUCUUGCUGUCACUUAUAGAUGGAUCCGCGCUGCAUUAGCUAGUUGGUAAGGUAACGGCUUACCAAGGCAACGAUGCAUAGCCGACCUGAGAGGGUGAUCGGCCACACUGGAACUGAGACACGGUCCAGACUCCUACGGGAGGCAGCAGUAGGGAAUCUUCCGCAAUGGGCGAAAGCCUGACGGAGCAACGCCGCGUGAGUGAUGAAGGUCUUCGGAUCGUAAAACUCUGUUAUUAGGGAAGAACAUAUGUGUAAGUAACUGUGCACAUCUUGACGGUACCUAAUCAGAAAGCCACGGCUAACUACGUGCCAGCAGCCGCGGUAAUACGUAGGUGGCAAGCGUUAUCCGGAAUUAUUGGGCGUAAAGCGCGCGUAGGCGGUUUUUUAAGUCUGAUGUGAAAGCCCACGGCUCAACCGUGGAGGGUCAUUGGAAACUGGAAAACUUGAGUGCAGAAGAGGAAAGUGGAAUUCCAUGUGUAGCGGUGAAAUGCGCAGAGAUAUGGAGGAACACCAGUGGCGAAGGCGACUUUCUGGUCUGUAACUGACGCUGAUGUGCGAAAGCGUGGGGAUCAAACAGGAUUAGAUACCCUGGUAGUCCACGCCGUAAACGAUGAGUGCUAAGUGUUAGGGGGUUUCCGCCCCUUAGUGCUGCAGCUAACGCAUUAAGCACUCCGCCUGGGGAGUACGACCGCAAGGUUGAAACUCAAAGGAAUUGACGGGGACCCGCACAAGCGGUGGAGCAUGUGGUUUAAUUCGAAGCAACGCGAAGAACCUUACCAAAUCUUGACAUCCUUUGACAACUCUAGAGAUAGAGCUUUCCCCUUCGGGGGACAAAGUGACAGGUGGUGCAUGGUUGUCGUCAGCUCGUGUCGUGAGAUGUUGGGUUAAGUCCCGCAACGAGCGCAACCCUUAAGCUUAGUUGCCAUCAUUAAGUUGGGCACUCUAAGUUGACUGCCGGUGACAAACCGGAGGAAGGUGGGGAUGACGUCAAAUCAUCAUGCCCCUUAUGAUUUGGGCUACACACGUGCUACAAUGGACAAUACAAAGGGCAGCGAAACCGCGAGGUCAAGCAAAUCCCAUAAAGUUGUUCUCAGUUCGGAUUGUAGUCUGCAACUCGACUACAUGAAGCUGGAAUCGCUAGUAAUCGUAGAUCAGCAUGCUACGGUGAAUACGUUCCCGGGUCU
rnacentral:rRNA from 1 species